AUUGAACGCUGGCGGCAGGCUUAACACAUGCAAGUCGAGCGGGGUGAUGGUGCUUGCACUAUCACUUAGCGGCGGACGGGUGAGUAAUGCUUAGGAAUCUGCCUAUUAGUGGGGGACAACAUCUCGAAAGGGAUGCUAAUACCGCAUACGUCCUACGGGAGAAAGCAGGGGAUCACUUGUGACCUUGCGCUAAUAGAUGAGCCUAAGUCGGAUUAGCUAGUUGGUGGGGUAAAGGCCUACCAAGGCGACGAUCUGUAGCGGGUGUGAGAGGAUGAUCCGCCACACGGGGAGUGAGACGCGGCCCAGACUCCGACGGGAGGCAGCAGUGGGGAAUAUUGGACAAUGGGGGGAACCCUGAUCCAGCCAUGCCGCGUGUGUGAAGAAGGCCUUAUAGUUGUAAAGCACUUUAAGCGAGGAGGAGGCUCUUUUGGUUAAUACCCAAGAUGAGUGGACGUUACUCGCAGAAUAAGCACCGGCUAACUCUGUGCCAGCAGCCGCCGUAA
rnacentral:rRNA from 1 species